GUGCUCACUUCGGCAACACAUAUACUAAAAUUAGAACGAUACAGAGAAGAUAGAUGAGCAUGGCCUCUGCGCAAGGAUGACACGCAAAUUCGUGAAACGUUCCAUAGUUUU